GAAUAUUCAUUUAUUCCACAGGGAAGCACAAGAGACAGUUGAAAAAAGGCCAAUCCAGGAUCAAUCCAAAAAGGCAAACUGAAUCAAGACUCGUCCUAAUGAGGAUAGAACUCAAUAGGAAAAUCCAUCCCAAUAUAUGUGUUGGGAGGAAACGGAAACAACCGUCAUCCACGAGGAUAUAUCUCAGUGGGGAACUGCAGAAGGAAUGACAGACACUUUCUGCUUAUGGGGAUGAC
rnacentral:lncRNA from 1 species